rnacentral:lncRNA from 1 species
GUAACAUUGAGAGUACAAAGGGGGUGUGCCCUUUAGGCAAUAUGGCCUAUAGCGCAAUACAAAUUAAGUUAGUAAUAUAGUUCUGCAAGAGAUUUUAUCAACACAUAAGGAAAAUAUCAGUUACUUUGAGGGACCCCCAGUUUAUUGGCGAUACAGCUCAGCAACAUGACCUUUGUAUGGCAGAUCUGGUUUACUGGUUACAUCUAUGACAUAACCUUUGAAUCACGGAGGAUCAAUCUCAC